UUGUUUUACUAGAAAUAACCAGGACCUGCAAGACAUCUCUGUGCAAAAAAGAACGCAGCCUUCAGAUUGCAGGAUGUGUGUUUGCAAGUAAACAGGUUUUAAUGCUGUCCUUUGCUUAUAUAAACUCCUGACGGAUGUGACUUGGCAUUACAUUUGGGAAUCCGGAGUUUGGGGUGUAGCCCUAGUGCCAACACGUGAAUAACAGCCUCUUCUUUGUUGAAAUACAUUCAUGAUCAGAUUGGUGAAUCUCUGAAUGACCCAAGACCCUUUACAAGAUAAAUCCAGCCCUUGAGUUAGAACAGCUUAAUUAAAAAACAAACAACCCACAAACGUUUUUGGACAGGUGGUGGCGGCACAUGCCUUUAAUCCUAGCACUUGGGAGGCAGAGGAAGGUUGACCUACGACCUUGAGGCCAGCCUUGUCUACAGAGCAAGUUCUAGGACAUCCAAGGCUACACAGGAAAACUUGGUCUCCAAAACCAAAGCCAAAACCAAAACCAAAACUAAAAAACAAAUAAAAGUUUGUAACCAGAUGAUUACAUUGUUGUGACUACAAUUGAAUAAGUUGAAUAAGUCACAUUUUCCUGUUGCUGUGAUAAAGUACCUGGCAAGAAGCAACUUAAAAAAAGGAAGGAAGCCUUCUUUUGGAUCACAGUUCAAGGGUACGGCCCAUCAUGGUGAGAAAGUCAUGACCACAGGAGCUACUGGGAGGCAGCUGGUCACAGUGCAUCUGCAAUCAGGAAGCAAAACGUAAUGAACUGGUACUCAGCUUGCUUGCUCCUUUUGUUGGAGAUUGGUUGCAAAAUCUGCGUGUCCAGAUGCUGAAGGUCCUUGUACCAGUUGGUUUUUCAUCAAUUAAUAAAGAUGUCAACGGCCAAUGGCUGGGCAUGGGGUGGGACGCUUAAGAGUUACAUAGGCAAGAAUGUAGAGAGGAACCAGACAGAAUCACAAUGACUCAGGGAAGUAGCGGCAGGACUUAAAACCAACCAGCCAUGUGAGAUUUCAGGAACUGGCCACUCACCACUUUCCCAAUUGGGCUUGGGGUAGCAGGGGAAGGUUUAGGAGUGACCAGCCUUUGAGGUAGCCAAGGCAUUAAAAAAAAACAAAACAAAAACAAAAACACCCCACAAAAACCUAAUGUGUGUGUGUCUUUCAUUCGAAGAUCCAAAGAUAGUUCUGGGCAGGUACACACGUGUGAUCUACUGGUAGCCAAAGUGGUGUAGCCAAAAUGCACCACUACAUCUUUUUUGUUCAGUCCGGGACCCCAGUCCAUGGAAUGCAUUUACCCACACUUAGUGUGAAUCUCCCCACUUUGAUUAAUCUAAUCAAGAAAAUCAGUCGCUCACAGGCCUUGGCAAUAUCUCCUCUUUAUCUAGAUAGUCUCUCGUGGGCGUGCCCAGAGACUCUUUUUCCUAGGUGAUUCUAGAUCCUAUCAAAUUGGCAAUUAAUAUAAUCCAUCCCAAGUGAUACGAAAUUCAGGUUUCAGUGUCCAUAAUUCUCACUAACCAAUUCCCGGAUGUAUGGUUUAUUCCUGCCUUAAUGGUUCAGUUGCAGGGCAGGAUCAUUGUACCAGGAACCGUGUGGUCUGUAAGGAGACUAUAAUGGCCAUUUAGUUUUUGGCAGAGAAAUCUGCUGAGGUCUAAGCUAUGAUGUGGCUCACCAGUGGGUUUGUUCUGAAGCCUAAGACUGCCUGUGAGUGCUGAAAUCUUGUUACAAUCCUCUCUGCUCUGGAGCAAUCUCAGGGACAAGGGAUACUACAUUACAGUGCCCAGCAAACCCAGCGCCCAUGUCAUGUGCCACCCAAUUCUCUAUUACUUCUCUGCAUACCUUACACUCUUUAUCUACAAGGUAAUGUUACUUGUGUCCCCUCCCAAAGAUACAUUGCAGCCAGGCAAAUCAGGAUUGGCCAGUGUCACUUCAAAUAUGGUUUGUAAAUUACAUCACUGCUACCUGGUAGCCACUCUGUCCAACUGCAGCUUCAGAUGAACCUAGUCUGAUGAGAUCAGUGGUUCUCAGCCCAUGGGUCAACUAGUUUGAAGGUAGUGGGGUUGGACAACCCUUUCACAGGGGUCACCUAACUUCAUUAGAAAAUACAGAUAUUUACAGUACAAUUCAUAAUAGUAUCAAGAUUGCAGUUAUGAAGUAGUAACAAAAAUACUUUUUAGGUUGGGGGGGGGCAAAGUUACCACAACACGAGGAGCUGUAUUAAAGAGUCGAAACGUUAGGAAGGUUGAGAACCACUGUACUAGGUGGCUCUGUGGCAGAGGGUGCUUGCUGCCAACUCUGAGGAUCUGAACUUGAUACCUGAGAACCACACGGUGGAAGGAGAGAACAGCUUCCUACAAGUGGUCCUCUGACUUCCACAUCAGUUCCUGCUCCUGUAAACACAGAGUCAUGAGUGCAAGCACACAUACAUAAUAAAUAAAUGGAAUUUUAAGGUGUAAAAAAUGCCUUGAAACAAACAAACAAACAAACAAACAAACACUAUUCCUGAAUAGGACACAAUGGUGGCUUUGUAUCCCUAUUACCUAGGAGUCAGAGAUAAGGUUGAGCCAUGGAGUUCCAGGUUAUUUUGGGCAACAUAGUGAUAUCUUGUCUCAAAACAAAAAUAAAAUCAGAAAACAAAAUCAAAACCUAAGUGAGGCUUGGUAGUACAUUAGCAUUUGGGAGGGCAAGGUAGGAGGGCCUGGAGUUUCAGGUCAGCCUGUGCUAUAUAGCUGGGUCCUAAUUCAAAGAAAAAAAGAACCUCAAACC
rnacentral:lncRNA from 1 species